UAUUGAAUCCGUUUUGAAUUUAGACUAUAACACAAACAUUUUUGGACUAAGACAAGGUGAAUGAAUACUUUCUGAAGGCACUGCAGACUGUACAAAGAAGAAACGAGGACUUGUAUUUUGAAGUUCGAACCGCUCCACUUCACUUUUUCCUGUUCGUCACUAGUUAACACAGCCACAAAGUCAAAGUCAAUUUACAAUUAAUAUAUAAUUUUAAACCUAAUCCUAACAACCAAACGGUUGACUUUAUGUCCAACCCUAACCUUAAAAGCCAAAAAGCCAAAAUUUUUAUAGCCAAUUUAGAUUUUGUUGCUAUGGUAACUGGUGGAACCCCUUUUUCCUAUCCAACCGAACAUCACUUCCGGUUUAUUUCACCGUGCGCGCUCUUAGUUUGUUGGAAGAAAGGCCGACACAGCUACAAAUAUGCAGUCCCCUCUUGUCAACAUCGCUUUGUUGUCCUCUUAUGUUUUAUUUUCUCUGACUCAUAUUCAGAAGGUUGCAGCUGAGGCGAAUGCGAGAGGGUUCGGAGACAACAUCCACUGGAGGAGUCUGGACGAUGGGAAGAAGGAGGCAGAGGCCAGUGGUCUACCACUGAUGGUUAUCAUUCACAAGACCUGGUGUGGAGCCUGCAAAGCUCUGAAGCCCAAGUUCGCCGAGUCCAAGGAGAUCUCUGAGCUGGCUCACAACUUUGUCAUGGUCAACCUGGAGGAUGAGGAGGAGCCUAAAGAUGAGGCAUAUAGUCCUGAUGGUGGAUACAUCCCCAGGAUAAUGUUUCUAGGUAAGAACCCCUACAGUCCUGAUGGUGGAGACAUCCCCAGGAUACUGUUCCUAGGUAAGAACCCCUACAGUCCUGAUGGUGGAUACAUCCCCAGGAUAAUGUUCCUAGGUAAGAACCCCUACAGUCCUGGUGGUGGAGACAUCCCCAGGAUAAUGUUCCUAGGUAAGAACCCCUACAGUCCUGGUGGUGGAUACAUCCCCAGGAUACUGUUCCUAGGUAAGAACCCCUACAGUCCUGGUGGUGGAUACAUCCCCAGGAUAAUGUUCCUAGGUAAGAACCCCUACAGUCCUGGUGGUGGAGACAUCCCCAGGAUAAUGUUCCUAGGUAAGAACCCCUACAGUCCUGGUGAUGGAGACAUCCCCAGGAUAAUGUUCCUAGGUAAGAACCCCUACAGUCCUGGUGGUGGAGACAUCCCCAGGAUACUGUUGCUAGGUGAGAACCCCUACAGUCCUGGUGGUGGAGACUGUUGCUAGGUAAGAACCCCUACAGUCCUGGUGGUGGAGACAUCCCCAGGAUACUGUUGCUAGGUAAGAACCCCUACAGUCCUGGUGGUGGAGACUGUUGCUAGGUAAGAACCCCUACAGUCCUGGUGGUGGAGACUGUUGCUAGGUAAGAACCCCUACAGUCCUGGUGGUGGAGACAUCCCCAGGAUACUGUUGCUAGGUAAGAACCCCUACAGUCCUGGUGGUGGAGACUGUUGCUAGGUAAGAACCCCUACAGUCCUGGUGGUGGAGACUGUUGCUAGGUAAGAACCCCUACAGUCCUGGUGGUGGAGACUGUUGCUAGGUAAGAACCCCUACAGUCCUGGUGGUGGAGACAUCCCCAGGAGACUGCUCCUAGGUCUCUACAUAAUAAGUUAUUGUUUGAGAGGCUACUAAAAUGGUAGGUAUUUUUUAUUCAUAAAUGUCUGUGCUCCCAACCCCCAACGCUGUCUACAGUCCUGUUCCUCUCUACCCCAUAGACGCCAGUGGUAAAGUCCACCCUGAGAUCACCAACAAAAACGGAAACCCGAACUACAAGUACUUUUACAGCAACGCAGACCAAGUUGUGUCUGCUAUGAAGCAAGUUCAGGAGAAGUUGACAGGAGAUGCCUUCAGGACCCACAUUGAAGACGAGCUGUAAGGUGGUAGGAUAGGUGGGGAGAGAAGGCUGCAGAGUUCUACCUGAAGGUGUCCUCGUUCACCUCACUCUCACAUGCUUACUGCACUCCGAAGGCUUUUUAAACAAGUGAGCAGAUGUACAUUUCAGGGCUCUCUUUCCAUCAGUGUGCAUUAGGUUGAUGCUUCCACUUUCUCUCCUCACCCUUAACCGGUUGAAAGUUACUGUCCAGAAACCAACUCUUAAAAAAAAAAAAAAUUGUUAACGUUUGUUUCAGUACCUCACAAUCCGUAAGACCACAACACACUAGUUGUUUCAACUGUAUAGUACUCUAGAGUGUGAAUGAAUGGGAGUCCCAUCUUGGUCAACCAAAGCAAACCGUCCAUCUGACACACAGGUGCACAAGUUUAGUUUCUCCAUCUAACUUGUUUUUAAUGGUAAACUUUUUGAUUUAAUCCAUCCACAUAGACAUUUAAUUUGAGGUUGAAUACAGGCCAUAUAACAACUCUGUAGAAGUUGAUCAACAGAACAGGUGGACCCAUAAACUGUCCUGCAUUUUAAAACACACACUUACACACAAGACUUCCAGACGGUAAGAGUUCUUUCAACUUUAACGUGCUUCCAACGGUUCAUUUUUGAAACACUCGCUCCGUCAAUGUAUACAAGGGGCCUAGAAUUCUCUCUCCUUUCUUUUUCAAAUCAGUAUAUCAAUAAAAUGUUGAAUCUGGGGCAAAAUGUUCAAUUGCUAUAAAUGAUUUUGUGGACCCCCCUCCCCUAAGCGGCUCAUAAUUCUGACUGACUAGACCAAACUGCUUUCUGUGAAGAAUAGAAGGAACACUAGAUGUGAUAAGUCUUGUCAUGCUGGAUUUUUUUUUUUACAUGUAUGUACACAGCCAAGUGUUAAUAAAGUUUGCUGGGUGGAAUGUU